GACACUUUGGCCGAGUGGUUAAGGCGCAAGCCUGCUAUUUCUAUAGCCUUGUGAGCUUGUGGGUUCGCCCGCGUGAGUUCGAAUCUCACAGGUGUCG